rnacentral:rRNA from 1 species
CCUACGGGGGACUGCAGUGAGGAAUAUUGGUCAAUGGACGAGAGUCUGAACCAGCCAAGUAGCGUGAAGGAUGACUGCCCUAUGGGUUGUAAACUUCUUUUAUAUGGGAAUAAAACGUUCCACGUGUGGGAUUUUGUAUGUACCAUAUGAAUAAGGAUCGGCUAACUCCGUGCCAGCAGCCGCGGUAAUACGGAGGAUCCGAGCGUUAUCCGGAUUUAUUGGGUUUAAAGGGAGCGGAGGGGGAUUGUUAAGUCAGUUGUGAAAGUUUGCGGCUCAACCGUAAAAUUGCAGUUGAAACUGGCAGUCUUGAGUACAGUAGAGGUGGGCGGAAUGCGUGGUGUAGCGGUGAAAUGCUUAGAUAUCACGAAGAACUCCGAUUGCGAAGGCAGUUCACUGGACUGCAACUGACACUGAGGCUCGAAAGUGUGGGUAUCAAACAGGAUUAGAUACCCGUGUAGUC